CACGUAGGGGACGAGCGUUGUCCGGAAUUACUGGGCGUAAAGGGCGCGCAGGCUGUGCGUCGAGUCGGCUGUUGAAAGGCGGGGCUCAACCCCGCGAAGCGGUCGAGACCGGCGUGCUGGAGUACUGCAGAGGCAGGCGGAAUUCCCGGUGUAGCGGUGAAAUGCGUAGAUAUCGGGAAGAACACCGGUGGCGAAGGCGGCCUGCUGGGCAGUAACUGACGCUGAGGCGCGAGAGCCAGGGUAGCGAACGGG
rnacentral:rRNA from 1 species